CUACGGGGUGCAGCAGUGAGGAAUAUUGGUCAAUGGGCGCGAGCCUGAACCAGCCAUCCCGCGUGCAGGAUGACGGCCCUAUGGGUUGUAAACUGCUUUUCUAUGCCAAGAAACCUGAUUACGUGUAAUCAGUUGCCGGUAGCAUAGGAAUAAGCAUCGGCUAACUCCGUGCCAGCAGGCCGCGGUAAUACGGAGGAUGCAAGCGUUAUCCGGAUUCAUUGGGUUUAAAGGGUGCGCAGGUGGGCUUGUAAGUCAGUGGUGAAAUGCUGCCGCUUAACGGUAGAACUGCCAUUGAUACUGCGAGUCUUGAGUAUGGUUGAGGUAGGCGGAAUGUGUUGUGUAGCGGUGAAAUGCAUAGAUAUGACACAGAACGCCAAUUGCGAAGGCAGCUUACUAAGCCAUUACUGACGCUGAGACACGAAAGCGUGGGGAGCGAACAGGAUUAGAUACCCCAGUAGUC
rnacentral:rRNA from 1 species